rnacentral:rRNA from 1 species
CAGCAGCCACGGGAAUACGGAGGGAGCUAGCGUUGUUCGGAAUUACUGGGCGUAAAGCGCACGUAGGCGGCUUUGUAAGUCAGAGGUGAAAGCCUGGAGCUCAACUCCAGAACUGCCUUUGAGACUGCAUCGCUUGAAUCCAGGAGAGGUGAGUGGAAUUCCGAGUGUAGAGGUGAAAUUCGUAGAUAUUCGGAAGAACACCAGUGGCGAAGGCGGCUCACUGGACUGGUAUUGACGCUGAGGUGCGAAAGCGUGGGGAGCAAACAGGAUUAGAGACCCCUGUAGUCCCUGUCUCUUAUAC